GGCGGCCAGAGCGGUGGGGACACACCCGUACCCAUUCCGAACACGGAAGUUANGAAGUUAAGCCCACCAGCGUACCGGGAAGUACUGGAGUGAGCGAUCCUCUGGGAACCGCGGUUCGCCGCCUG
rnacentral:rRNA from 1 species